GGGGGAAUAUUGGACAAUGGGCGAAAGCCUGAUCCAGCCAUGCCGCGUGUGUGAAGAAGGUCUUCGGAUUGUAAAGCACUUUAAGUUGGGAGGAAGGGCAGUAAGCGAAUACCUUGCUGUUUUGACGUUACCGACAGAAUAAGCACCGGCUAACUCUGUGCCAGCAGCCGCGGUAAUACAGAGGGUGCAAGCGUUAAUCGGAAUUACUGGGCGUAAAGCGCGCGUAGGUGGUUCGUUAAGUUGAAUGUGAAAGCCCCGGGCUCAACCUGGGAACUGCAUCCAAAACUGGCGAGCUAGAGUAGGGCAGAGGGUGGUGGAAUUUCCUGUGUAGCGGUGAAAUGCGUAGAUAUAGGAAUGAACACCAGUGGCGAAGGCGACCACCUGGGCUCAUACUGACACUGAGGUGCGAAAGCGUGGGGAGCAAACAGG
rnacentral:rRNA from 1 species